UUGAUAAAUUAUUUGAAAUCCCUAACCUAACUCAUAAAUUAAUUAGAAGAAAGUUACUAAGUUCUGGGAUUCAUUCCUACAACAUCCUCAAAUAUAUGAGUGAAAACAUCAUUAGGCAUACAAUCCAAAAAUAAACAUCAAUAAGCUAUAAAAAGGAGCAUCAUCAGUUAGUGGCACGUUUACGAUGAUAUCUGUAGAUUUGAAAACAAUUGAAAGGGGAUGGCCCACGAGAGAUGGUUAUCGAUUGUUGAAUGUGGUUGUUGGAGGUGAUUGUUAGCCAUCGGAAAUGCUGGUAAAAAAUGAUUGUCACUGAUGGGAGGUGAUUGGUAGUGGACAAAAGUGAUUGUUGAAUGUAGGAGGGUGUUGGCCAAAAGUGAUUGCCUAUUGUUGGAGGUGGUGGCGGGCUAUCUAAAUCUAAGAUGAUGACCAAAGCUUGUAUCCGACAAAAGGUGAUGACGGACCUCGGGAGGUGGUUGUCAGAGGAGGUCAUUAGUGAUAGUGACUGGUGGUGAUAAGCAUUGGUGGUGGUUCUUGGAAAUAGGAGAAAGAGAAAUGAAUUUUUUUUAAAAAACAAAUGAAAUUAACUUUUUUGUUUUUAUUCAAAAUUUUAGUAAAUUACGUUUACAAAAUUUUAAAAGAAAAUGGUACUAAAUGAUUUCUUAUAUAUAAAUUUUAAAAUUUCUAUAAAUAUAAACAGAAAGCACUAGCAUGCUCUAAGCAUGUACGUUUUUUUUUUUGGUUUUGUUUUGUGUCUCUAGUAUACCAUCAAAGUUGAAGAAAGCUGUUCUACUGUCUGUCUUAAUGGGUUCGUUGCUUUGGAUGUGCCUGCUCAAAAAGGCCCCCUAUGGGUUCUUGGAGAUUUAUUCCUUGGAGCAUACCACACUAUAUUCGACUUUGGUAAUCUCCAAGUGGGUUUUGCGAAAAGUGCUUAGUACUCCUAAUUAAGUGGGAUUUGAGAAAACUACAUACCUGCUUCCUACUCCUUCAACUUCCUCCCUUUGAUUGGUCUUGGCUUGUGAAUGCAAGGUGCAAUUAGGUGGACAAUUUGUGAAAGUAAUGUUAAUUGGAUGGAUACACAUAUGUCUUGCAAUAGUGUGAAUUGCAUCUUUUUUAUUUAUUAGCAUUAUAAUUAUUGUUUUUUUGGGUGAGAAUUUUGAUAAAUAGGGCUUUAUGUAAAAAGGUUACCCAUGAAUAAAAACAGAUGUUACUUUGGCAUGGAGAUGCAUCCAUUAAUAAUA